CUUUAUUUGCGUUAUUAUGGCAUUAUGAAAUUAAAAUAUUAUUAUAUCAUUAAAAUUAAAAUAACAGCUAAAUGUCCUCCACAAGAUCUUGAUCUUGCUGUUUUUUUCUUCUUUAUGAUUAUGUUGGCAUAAAAUAAAACUUCUUCACAGUAUUCAGUUUAAAGACGGUGAGCGUACUUGCUGCGGUCAAUGAUUCAUAUACUACCAUGCAACUACUUGAUCUGCAAAUGAUCUCAACAGAAAUUGAGAAUCAAUCAGACGCAACAUUGUCAAAUCUCACCACCAGAUCAUGAUUUCUUUCCAGAAAAAUGAAUUAGACAACAUAUCCCCCGAAACUUAACUGCCACCCACACUAGUAUAGGGCUUCGCCAGAUUACUUGAUGCACUUCCAUCAACUUCAAUUUUAAUCCAAUCCACAGGCGGCUUCUCCUAUCCAUGAGUAGAAACCCUAGAGCGGGAAGAAAAGACAUUAGGAUAAACCAAAUUACGAAAUGAAGUAGCCAACUGAAAAGUACUCUUCAUCACUUCUUUGCACCGCCACUUUCCUACUUGCCAAACACUCCAAUUCAGACCAUGUGAGGCCUGUCAAAACAGUAGCGCAAAGACAAGAAUGCAUAUUCUUAACAACAAACUGAUCAUCCCAAGAAUAAUGAGUCAAAAUUGCUGAACAUACAGAUUGUGAUUUGCUACAAUCACGAUGAGUGAAGGACUAUUUCAAAACAAACGCUACACUGAGAACAAAUAUUUGAGAUACACAUAUUAUGAUCCACCCAAAUACUGUUAGUGAGAAGACAUUCUCGAACUGCCAGCUAGAGGAAAAAAUGAACAUAAGAUAGGCAAGACAUCUUCCACAUCCAGGUAGAAAAAGUGCCUGAUACAUCCAAGAAGGAAUCCCCAAAAAGAGUUAUUUAACCUGAUUUACAAGAAUACUCACCAUUUGGAGAGAAAUUCCAUAUUAAUAAGUCAUUUGUACGCUCAAAUAAAGAAAGAGGGAUAGUUUUAACAGCUUACACCAAAUCAUAAGGUAUCCUAUUCUGCAAAAAGGAGAAAUCUGGAGAACCAUUGGAGAUAAGAAAGAAAAUUGUGAGGUGGCGAUCAGUAGGAUCAAUAAUCAAAUACAACCACUCUAAAGAAGGAGAAGAAUGCAGCCGCAUAUCAUAAAGAUGCGCAUGUUUCCACACACACAUAGCCACCAAGUCUCGUCA
rnacentral:misc_RNA from 1 species